rnacentral:rRNA from 1 species
GUGGGGAAUCUUGCGCAAUGGGCGAAAGCCUGACGCAGCAACGCCGCGUGCGGGAAGAAGGCCUUCGGGUUGUAAACCGCUUUCAGAAGGAACGAAAAUGACGGUACUUUCAGAAGAAGGUGCGGCCAACUACGUGCCAGCAGCCGCGGUGACACGUAGGCACCAAGCGUUGUCCGGAUUUAUUGGGCGUAAAGAGCUCGUAGGCGGUUCGGUAAGUCGGAUGUGAAAUCUUUGGGCUUAACCCAAAGCGUGCAUUCGAUACUGCCAUGACUAGAGUUCGGUAGGGGAGCGGGGAAUUCCUAGUGUAGCGGUGAAAUGCGCAGAUAUUAGGAGGAACACCGGUGGCGAAGGCGCCGCUCUGGGCCGAAACUGACGCUGAGGAGCGAAAGCGUGGGUAGCAAACAGGAUUAGAAACCCCAGUAGUCC